rnacentral:lncRNA from 1 species
AUUUGAUCCACUUUCCAGACUCCAAAUUUGAUAAAAUUUUUAUCUAACAUUCUACACUCAUAGGGAAUUCCAAAGAGGAAACAUGCAUUGCUAUCGGAGGUCGUUUGACCCCCUAAAUAAUUCGCCGAAGUUGGAACUUCGACACAGUUUUUCCGUAGUGCCGGAAAAAUUUGUCAAAAUCCGAUUCUUCCUCUUUUAACCGCCUCUACAACCCUUAUCCGACCCCUCUAGACUAUAUCCACCCUUUGUAUAGCCUAAUGUCAUCAAAAGACUAGAUAGGGACGGAUAUUUACCUUUUUCUUUUUGAAAAUCGAGGUCCUUGCGUAGAGGGAAAGGAGAUCUACGUUUUUCCCUUCAGCUGGCAACGCAACCGGGAUCUCCUUCCUCUUCCUUUCUUCCUUUUCUUUCCUCUUCCUUUCUUCCUUUCCUUUCCUCUCCUUCUUU